AACGCGAAGAACCUUACCAAGGUUUGACAUGGACCGAAAACUCAUGGAGACAUGGGGUCCUUCGGGGCGGUUCACAGGUGGUGCAUGGCUGUCGUCAGCUCGUGUCGUGAGAUGUUGGGUUAAGUCCCGCAACGAGCGCAACCCUCGUCCCAUGUUGCCAGCGGGUUAUGCCGGGGACUCAUGGGAGACUGCCGGGGUCAACUCGGAGGAAGGUGGGGAUGACGUCAAGUCAUCAUGCCCCUUAUGUCUUGGGCUGCAAACAUGCUACAAUGGCCGGUACAAAGGGCUGCGAGCCCGUGAGGGUAAGCGAAUCCCGGAAAGCCGGUCUCAGUUCGGAUCGGGGUCUGCAACUCGGCCCCGUGAAGCCGGAGUCGCUAGUAAUCGCGGAUCAGCAACGCCGCGGUGAAUACGUUCCCGGGCCUUGUA
rnacentral:rRNA from 1 species